rnacentral:rRNA from 1 species
GCUUACGGCAUACACCCUGAACACGCCCGAUCUCUGGAAGCUAAGCAGGGUCGGGCCUGGUUAGUACUUGGAUGGGAGACCGCCUGGGAAUACCAGGUGCUGUAAGUU